rnacentral:rRNA from 1 species
CCUACGGGUGGCAGCAGUGGGGAAUAUUGCACAAUGGGGGAAACCCUGAUGCAGCGACGCCGCGUGAGUGAAGAAGUAGUUCGGUAUUUAAAGCUCUUUCAGCAGGGAAGAGAAUGACGGUACCUGAGUAAGACGCCCCGUCGAACUACGUGCCAGCAGCCGCGGUAAUACGGAGGGGGCAAGCGUUAUCCGGAUUUACUGGGUGUAAAGCGAGCGUAGACGGCGAAGAAGGUCGGCAGUGAAAGGCCGCGGGUCAACCGCGGAACUGCUUUGGAAACUUUUUGGCUGGAGUACCGGAGAGGUAAGCGGAAUUCGUAGUGUAGCGGUGAAAUGCGUAGAUAUUAGGAGGAACACCGGUGGCGAAGGCGGCUUACUGGCCGGUAACUGACGUUGAGGCUCGAAAGCGUGGGGAGCAAACAGGAUUAGAUACCCGAGUAGUC